GUCUACAGCCAUGCCACCCUCAACGUGCCCGAUCUCGUCUGAUCGCGGAAGCUAAGCGGGGUUGGGCCUGGUUAGUACUUGGACGGGAGACCGCCUGGGAAUAGCGGGUGCUGUAGGCU
rnacentral:rRNA from 1 species